GAACUUUCCAGAGAUGGAUUGGUGCCUUCGGGAACUGUGAGACAGGUGCUGCAUGGCUGUCGUCAGCUCGUGUUGUGAAAUGUUGGGUUAAGUCCCGCAACGAGCGCAACCCUUAUCCUUUGUUGCCAGCGGUCCGGCCGGGAACUCAAAGGAGACUGCCAGUGAUAAACUGGAGGAAGGUGGGGAUGACGUCAAGUCAUCAUGGCCCUUACGACCAGGGCUACACACGUGCUACAAUGGCGCAUACAAAGAGAAGCGACCUCGCGAGAGCAAGCGGACCUCAUAAAGUGCGUCGUAGUCCGGAUUGGAGUCUGCAACUCGACUCCAUGAAGUCGGAAUCGCUAGUAAUCGUGGAUCAGAAUGCCACGGUGAAUACGUUCCCGGGCCUUGUACACACCGCCCGUCACACCAUGGGAGUGGGUUGCAAAAGAAGUAGGUAGCUUAACCUUCGGGAGGGCGCUUACCACUUUGUGAUUCAUGACUGGGGUGAAGUCGUAACAAGGUAACCGUAGGGGAACCUGCGGUUGGAUCACCUCCUUACCUGAAAGAAGC
rnacentral:rRNA from 4 species